rnacentral:rRNA from 1 species
CAGUCGCCGCGGGAAUACGAAGGGUGCAAGCGUUAAUCAGAAUUACUGGGCGUAAAGCGUGCGUAGGCGGUGAGUUAAGUCUGCUGUGAAAUCCCCGGGCUCAACCUGGGAAUGGCAGUGGAUACUGGCUCGCUAGAGUGUGUCAGAGGAUGGUGGAAUUCCCGGUGUAGCGGUGAAAUGCGUAGAGAUCGGGAGGAACAUCAGUGGCGAAGGCGGCCAUCUGGGACAACACUGACGCUGAGGCACGAAAGCGUGGGGAGCAAACAGGAUUAGAUACCCCCGUAGUCCCUGUCUCUUAUAC